rnacentral:rRNA from 1 species
AUGGCUGGAAUCAACAUAGCCAAGACCGGCGGUGGGUUCUCCAUCUGCAAGCCUAAGGCUGGUGCUCGCCCUAAGUCAGCCCCGGCAGCCAGGGCUGCCGAGCUCCAAGUGUGCCGCAGCUUGGGCAUUGUCAAAGACGGGGAAGACGUCACUGCCGCUGCGUUGGAUGCUUUCGCGGACCGCUUCAAGGACCAGCUGUCGCCGGACGUGAUCGUGGCCAUGCGUGGGCUGUUCAAGCUUGAUGACAGCAGCGCAGUGGAUGUCGAGGAGGCCCUCAUAGCUCAUGGUGGGGGAGGUGCUCUUGACCUGGUGCAGAACGGCGACGACGCAGUGGCGCAGCUGGAGUGA